GCAUAUCAAUAAGCGGAGGAAAAGAAACCAACAGGGAUUGCCCUAGUAACGGCGAGUGAAGCGGCAACAGCUCAAAUUUGAAAUCUGGCGUAAGCCCGAGUUGUAAUUUGUAGAGGAUGCUUCUGGGUAGCGGCCGGUCUAAGUUCCUUGGAACAGGACGUCAUAGAGGGUGAGAAUCCCGUAUGUGACUGGCCCGCACCCUCCACGUAGCUCCUUCGACGAGUCGAGUUGUUUGGGAAUGCAGCUCUAAAUGGGAGGUAAAUUUCUUCUAAAGCUAAAUACUGGCCAGAGACCGAUAGCGCACAAGUAGAGUGAUCGAAAGAUGAAAAGCACUUUGGAAAGAGAGUUAAAAAGCACGUGAAAUUGUUGAAAGGGAAGCGCCCGCAACCAGACUUUACGGCGGUGUUCGGCUGGUCUUCUGACCGGUUUACUCACCGCCGUAAGGCCAUCAUCGUCUGGGACCGCUGGAUAAGACCUGAGGAAUGUAGCUCCCUUCGGGGUGUGUUAUAGCCUCUAGGUGAUGCAGCGCGUCUCGGGCGAGGUCCGCGCUCCGGCAAGGAUGAUGGCGUAAUGGUUGUCGGCGGCCCGUCUUGAAACACGGACCAAGGAGUCUAACAUCUAUGCAAGUGUUCGGGUGUCAAACCCCUACGCGUAAUGAAAGUGAACGGAGGUGGGAACCCUUGGGUGCACCAUCGACCGAUCCUGAUGUCCUCGGAUGGAUUUGAGUAAGAGCAUAGCUGUUGGGACCCGAAAGAUGGUGAACUAUGCCUGAAUAGGGUGAAGCCAGAGGAAACUCUGGUGGAGGCUCGCAGCGGUUCUGACGUGCAAAUCGAUCGUCAAAUUUGGGUAUAGGGGCGAAAGACUAAUCGAACCAUACUA
rnacentral:rRNA from 1 species